GCCUUCGUAGCUCAGUAGGUAGAGCACCUGACUGUUAAUCAGGUGGUCGGAAGUUCGAGUCUUCCCGAAGGCG
rnacentral:tRNA from 1 species